AUCCCAUGAUGAGGACACUUACGAAAUAAUUCCUUGAAUCUUUCCCACGCUUCAUAGAAAGAUUCGUCAUCCAAUUGUUGGAAAGUAGUUAUUUGAUUUCGCAACUU
rfam:Gossypium raimondii chromosome 3, whole genome shotgun sequence.